UGAGGAAUAUUGGACAAUGGGCGCAAGCCUGAUCCAGCCAUGCCGCGUGCAGGAUGACGGACCUGUGGGUUGUAAACUGCUUUUAUACAGGAAGAAACCCUGGUUCGUGAACCAGCUUGACGGUACUGUAAGAAUAAGGAUCGGCUAACUCCGUGCCAGCAGCCGCGGUAAUACGGAGGAUCCAAGCGUUAUCCGGAAUCAUUGGGUUUAAAGGGUCCGUAGGCGGUUUAGUAAGUCAGUGGUGAAAGCCCAUCACUCAACGGUGGAACGGCCAUUGAUACUGCUAAACUUGAAUUAUUAGGAAGUAACUAGAAUAUGUAGUGUAGCGGUGAAAUGCUUAGAGAUUACAUGGAAUACCAAUUGCGAAGGCAGGUUACUACUAAUUGAUUGACGCUGAUGGACGAAAGCGUGGGUAGCGAACAGGAUUAGAUACCCUGGUAGUCCACGCCGUAAACGAUGGAUACUAGCUGUUGGGCGCAAGUUCAGUGGCUAAGCGAAAG
rnacentral:rRNA from 1 species